ensembl:lncRNA
CUGUUUUAGAAAUUACUUUAUUGCACUAAAAAGAGGAAAUCAUCUGUAAACAAACAUUCCAUUCAGGUAUUAAUAUAUGUUUUCACUCCAAAAAUACAUCAUUAAAUCCAGCCACAGAAAUAUCAAAGCAGGAACAAUAGAAAAUAGCUCCAGCAGCAGAGAGACCCAUCCAAGCAACAGCCCUGGCUCCCACACCACCAGCCCAGCACAGAGCAGGGCUCACAGCAGCUCAUCCCGGGGCUCACUGCAUGGUCACACACCCACCUCCAGCAGGACAGCCCUGGGACAGGCUGGGCUGGGGCAGGACGAGAGUCCCCAGGCCCUUGGGCCUCCCUCUGGGGUCAGCCUCAACCCAAGGAGCAGCCUGAGGUCCUGCUUUCAGCAUCCUCCUCCCUCCAGACCCAAAGGCACACGGAUCUUCUGCGGGGGAUGUCACCCCUCAAACCUCUCAGAGCACCAAAGCCUUCAUCCCACUCCCACUCCCCCUCUUCUUGCAGCUUGUCCCCCCCACCCAGCAGCACCCAGGUCUCCCCAGCCCCUCGCAGGCGCAGCACCCCAGGGAGCACAGGGUGAGGUGUGCUGGGGCUGUCAGGUAGCAGCCAGCUGGGCAGGGUCCCCUUGGUACCCCAGACCCCCUCAGGGGCAGGAUGUUCCCCCCACACCCCGGGGUGUGACACUUCUGCCUAUCCCCCCUCCCCGGAGCCCUCCUCUGCCCCCAGGAUGGGCCAGGGCACUUUGGGGCUGGGGACCAUCCCUGUGCUGGCUCCUGGGGGAGCACAAGGAAGCCUCAAGUGGGGAACUCCCUGUGAAGGAUGGACAUGUCAGCUCCUUAUGUCCUGCGUGUUUUCAACCACAAGCUCAGCAAACAGCCACGAUCACCCUGAAUCCCCCCGACAUGCAAACACGGCGCGGUCAGAGCUGUGCCUCGCCUACCUGGGACAUAUUUACAGACAAAGAAAAACGCUGCGAAAGAUCAGCCUCGGAUAUAAAUAGUCAACACUGAGAUCUGCCAUCUGCUGCAAAAGGACAAAUAAAGGAACAUGGACUGCCACCACAGAGGUUAACACGGAGGGGACACGCGUGCGUGUGUGUCCACGCGUGCUGCGACAGGCGGGGACGGGGGACGGGAGCGCUGCAAACCCUGCUCCCUGCACAGAAACAUGCAGAGCCCGACACAAAGGGUGACACCACACCAAACAACAACGCAGCGUGGUUUAUCCACCCGCAGAAAUGCCCCGGCUGGCAUCCUCCCCGCCCCCACUGUCCCCAGCCCGCCAGCCGGGGUGACAGGGCGGGAUGGGAAGGGUCAGGAGCACCUCGCUCCCCCCCAAAAAGGAAACUGAAAGGCAGGCGGUCACUUUGAGAAGCCAGAUCCCCCUGGGCACAGGAGCUUGGUGGCCUCACAGGACACAUCUCUGCUGCCCAGUGGGUGCAACCACUUCAAAGAUCCUCUGCCCUCAUAAACUAGAGAGGAUGGAGGGUUGUGGAGCCUCAGCCUGUCCCCCUGCCCAGCCUCACCUGGGAUGGCCCCAACACUACUCCUGUCACCUCAGCUUCUGUCAGCAAGCACAACUGCUGGGACGCUGCCUGGGACCAUCCGUGUGCCCAGGGCAGGAGGUGCCAGCCCCCGGCAUCUCCCUCCCGUGGGCAGGGGAAAGGCACUGACAGCCUCCUGGAUUUGGGCAAACCAAAGCCCCCAAAGCUCCACGAGCAGUUUCCCACUGGGGGUCAGCAGUGGGGGACAGCGCUGGGGUGGGCAGGGAGGGCAGCCCGGGAGGCUGCAGGUGUCAGACCAAGCCAACCUUGCAGCCUCACAGGGCUGGAGCGAGUCCAGGAAAGGCUCAAAAGCCACAAACCUGACUCAUCCUCCAGGAUGACCGCCCUUGGCCCACUCUCGGGUCACCUCUGCAGUAUUUUCUUCGCAGUUUCCAACACCAGAAACUUGUCUUUUAAAUUAAAGCUGUCACCUGACUACAGGUGCUGGGGCUUUGAGAGGUGCCCGUAAGUGUGCUACAGAGCUUUACCCACCUCCAACCUGUUUGGUGGCAGCUGGAGACCACAGGCACAGGGAGGGAAGAGUCCAACAGGUGCUUCCAUCCUUCCUGGUGGGGAAUGGGCUGGAGGCUCUCCACUUUCUGCUGGGCUCCAGGAGACACAGCCCCGGGGCAGGACCAGGGGGGGAGCAGGGGCAGAGGCUGUGGUUGCCAGCUGCUGUUGGCAGAGCCCCGCAGCAGCACCACUCCUGGGGACCCCCACACCCUGCCACGACCCCGGCCCUCCUCAGAGGCCCUUCCAAACCCUCCUCCAGCGGGGCUGGGGGACAGAGCCGGCCGCCCUGCCUCGCCCCGGCCCCAGAGGUGGGAGGGCUCCCUCCGGGGCUGGUAGCAGAUACCUACAGGCAGGACAGGAGGGCGGUGAGUGGCAGCUCCUUCUCCCCCAGCAGCGUGUCCCGCUUAAGGCUGCUGCCCUUGUUGACCACCUUGAGCUUCAGGGACAUCUUCCUAGCGUGGCCGGGGCCCAGCCCGUCGAAGAAGAAGUCCUCGUUGAAGACGGGGUUGCGGCUGUUCUUGACAAUGGUGCUGCGCUGCUUCUGCAGCUUCCCGGGGUUGAGGCACAGCGAGACGCAGCAGUUGAUGCUGCGCUGGUCGACGAGGGCAUCGUAGAGGUCCUCGGCGGAGACGAGGCGCACACGCAGGCGGGCGUUGGAGGGGUCGUACUCGGCAGCCAGGCGCAGGCUCCCGCCGCGGCUCAGCCGCAGGCUGUGCUCCCGGUCCC